rnacentral:rRNA from 1 species
UACGGAGGAUCCGAGCGUUAUCCGGAUUUAUUGGGUUUAAAGGGUGCGUAGGCGGCCUGUUAAGUCAGGGGUGAAAGACGGUAGCUCAACUAUCGCAGUGCCUUUGAUACUGGUGUUCUUGGGUGACGGUGAGGUAGGCGGAAUGGGUGGUGUAGCGGUGAAAUGCAUAGAUACCACCCAGAACUCCGAUUGCGAAGGCAGCCUACUGGUCGUAACCGACGCUCAGGCACGAAAGCGUGGGGAGCAAACAGG